CGCCCUAACCGCGGGAGGUCGCUGUCGUAGUCCUUGUACAUGCUGUGGAGGCAAUCAAAUGUGGCUGGUGAAAGGCUCGCGGGGGCUCCUAGGCGCCUGCUCUCUUCAAACCUGGACUAAAUUCCUGGAAUAGCUAAUUGCCAGGCCCACCUGGCACACUACUGGCCCACCACAGGGAAGGAAAUCUGGGGAACAGCACGCCCUAAUAGGGCAGGGAUUCUCACACUGAGUGUGUUGCCUCUGCCCUGAGAGCGCCUCCCCUCCAUCUCCCCUGUUCUGCCACAGGCACCAGAACCCUGGAGUCACCCUGACUGAGAAUCUUUGAGUCACAUUUGAUGCAGAGUUCCUGAUGGAAAGGGCUCUGAACUCGUGGGGACACCCAUACAUGUACCUUACAGAUGAGGAAACUGUGGCUCAGAGAUGGUGAAGUGACUAAAAAGGAGUACAGAUCAUACAGCGAGGAGGACCAGGAACAUGAACUAGAACUUGGGUGUCCCUUGCAUCUAUGACGGUGAAAGUAACAUUUACUGAGCUCUAUGCAUGUUCCGGCACGGAUCCAGACACUUUAUAGUUACUAUCUUCAAUUGGAACAACCCUAAGAACCUGUUCCUUCUCAGUCUUUCACAACAUUGACUUCCUGUGUCUGCCCUGAAGAAAACCCUGUGAACAGGAGGUACUGCAAACACAAGAAGUGCUGGUACCCAUUACUAGGAUACCUACCUGAGUCUUUAUUAUGAUGCUACAGGGUUCUGGGAUGUGCCAACAAAAAGGCACCGAUGAACAAACAAUAUCAGAGCCACCAGUAAAACGAAAUAAAACUGAGACUGAGACUCACUGAAAGAACUUGCACAAAAUCAACUUUUAAAAAGCAGACCAGGUCUACUGGAACCCAGGUCUUUAAGCCUUGAAAGACAAUGCAGCAUGCCUGGAAAAAGAAAAGGUUUUGGGAGCAGACACCUGAGCUCAGUGUUGCCGCAGGACUUCAUGCUAUCCCUGGGCCACAGGUACUUCAGCUCACACUGGACUUGGAGCCCGACCCCACCCAGCUUCCCACUGCCAUCUGGUGGUCAUCCGGAGCCCAGGGCCCAGCUCCUGAUGGGCCUUCAUCAGCAAUCUCCUUCAGAGUGCUGCAAAGCCUGUGGGCAACCCUACUUCCGCCCCUGAAAAAGUUGGCAUGAGAAAGAAAGGCCCAAUAUCUUGCCUCCAAUGGUGGCAGAUAAGUAUGAGCACAAAAAUCCAGAUAAUGUGCCAAACACAAAAAGCAGGACUUUAUAAGAAACAACACCGAAGCUGCUGAUGCCUCAAAUCCUGCCUUCCAGUGGCAUGUUGGAUCUGGUCACCCAUGAACACAGACAUCAAAGCAAUACCCAUGUGUCUGUGGUGAUCAUGGACAGCAUGCAACUGAUUGUGGAUGAUAGCUGGGCAAAUGGGGAUAUCCAAAUGUCAAUGGGUACUCACUGAAGGAGCAGAAAUAAUAUGGAAGGAUGUACAGGUAAUAUCAGAGUGAACAUUGGAUAAUAAUUUAGUUUUUGAGAUAAUAUCUAGGUGGGUCAAAGUAAUACAUAUUUUUGUGGACAAGGUUUGAGAAGGGUUUAACUACGUGUCUGUAGAUAAUGCCUGACUGAGAGUGGGCAAAUUUAGACUGUGCAGAGGUAGUAUGUCUGAGGAUAACAUCUCGUUUUGUAGAUAACAUCUUCAGAAAAUGUGGAUUAUAUUCAGAGGUCUGAACUGAAUGGGGGAAUAUCCAAAUGAUGAUGGUAGUAGCUGAGUAAGCAGAAAGUAAUAUUCAAGUAUGUGUAGGCAAUAUUUAGGUGAGCAUGGAUGUGAGAUGUUAACAUGUUAAGAUGUGAAGUGAGAGAUCAAUCUGACUGAGUAAAAUAACUCAGUGCCUGAGUGAACACACGUGA